UGGAUCCGUGAUGAGGACUGGUGGCGUGUGUGAGUCAUGGUGGAUGAUGACUACUGCUCUGGAAGUCUGAGGUCCAA